CCUACGGGUGGCAGCAGUGGGGGAUAUUGCACAAUGGGGGAAACCCUGAUGCAGCGACGCCGCGUGGGUGACGAAGCGCCUCGGCGCGUAAAGCCCUGUCAGCAGGGAAGAAAAUGACGGUAACUGAAGAAGAAGCCCCGGUUAACUACGUGCCAGCAGCCGCGGUAAUACGUAGGGGGAAAGCGGUAGCAGGGUUUACUGGGGGUAAAGGGGGCGCAGACGGCGAUGCAAGCCAGGAGUGAAAGCCCGGGGCCCAACCCCGGGACUGCUCUUGGAACUGCGUGGCUAGAGUGCAGGAGGGGCAGGCUGAAUUCCUGGUGUAGCGGUGAAAUGCGUAGAUAUCAGGAGGAACACCGGUGGCGAAGGCGGCCUGCUGGACUGCAACUGACGUUGAGGCCCGAAAGCGUGGGGAGCAAACAGGAUUAGAUACCCCGGUAGUC
rnacentral:rRNA from 1 species